rnacentral:rRNA from 1 species
UACGAAGGGGGCGAGCGUUGUUCGGAAUCACUGGGCGUAAAGAGUGCGUAGGCGGUUUUGUAAGUUAGAAGUGAAAGCCCAGGGCUCAACCUUGGAAUUGCUUUUAAGACUGCAAGACUUGAAUUCAGGAGAAGAUAGCGGAAUUCCCAGUGUAGCAGUGAAAUGCGUAGAUAUUGGGAGGAACACCGGUGGCGUAGGCGGCUAUCUAGACUGACAUUGACGCUGAGGCACGAAAGCGUGGGGAUCAAACAGG